rnacentral:rRNA from 1 species
UACGGAGGGUGCAAGCGUUGUCCGGAUUUAUUGGGUUUAAAGGGUGCGUAGGCGGCCUAUUAAGUCAGUGGUGAAAUCCUACAGCUUAACUGUAGAACAGCCAUUGAUACUGAUGGGCUUGAGUUCAGACGAGGUAGGCGGAAUUUAUGGUGUAGCGGUGAAAUGCAUAGAUACCAUAAAGAACACCGAUUGCGAAGGCAGCUUACUAGACUGAAACUGACGCUGAGGCACGAAAGCGUGGGGAUCGAACAGG